GGACUACACGGGUUUCUAAUCCUGUUUGCUCCCCUUGCUCUCGCGCCUCAGCGUCAGGUAAUAGCUAGAAAAUCGCCUUCGCCACCGGUGUUCUUCCACAUAUCUACGCAUUUCACCGCUACACGUGGAAUUCCAUUUUCUCCGCCAUCCCUCUAGACUCACAGUUUCAAAUGCAGCUCCGAAGUUGAGCUCCGGAAUUUCACACCUGACUUACAAAUCCGCCUACGCGCCCUUUACGCCCAAUAAUUCCGAUUAAUGCUUGCACCCUCCGUAUUACCGCGGCUGCUGGCAC
rnacentral:rRNA from 1 species